ACAUUUCAAAUAUUGUGUUCAGGCUUGGGCUCCUUACCAUAGGAAUGACACUGAAUUGUUGGAAAGGGUUCAGGAAGGCUACUAGAAUGGUGUCUGGGAUGGAGGGAUUGCCAUACGAGGAAAGGUUAAAAUCUCUGGAAUUAUUUUCUCUUGAAAAAAAAAGAAGAGUUGGAGGGGAUCUGAUUAAGGU